CUGCAAGACGGAGGUAACAGAUUGCACAAACACAUUGAAACAUUUUCAGCUGUUCACUAACACUGUUACAUUUUCUGGAAUUUUCAAUUGAAUGGGAAAAUACGAGAGACGAAUGCCCAAUUUUUCAAGAAGAAGAAAACGAAAAGCGCAGUUUAUUUUGGUUUUUAAAGAGAGUAAACGAAAAAGAUUAACAACGAGAAAAAGAAAUCAUUUGAAGCGUUUGGAUGCGUAUAACAAAGACGCACCAUUCAAUUAGCCGCAUCACCGGUGACUUGGAGGACGAGCAUUACGUGGAGCUCGCUAUUAGUUUAAGUAAAUAUUUCAUUAUUUUGAUGUUAUCAUUAAAUAAAGGGAAAUAAUAAAAGAA